GACGAACGCUGGCGGCGUGCUUAACACAUGCAAGUCGAACGGAAAGGCCCUGCUUUUGUGGGGUGCUCGAGUGGCGAACGGGUGAGUAACACGUGAGUAACCUGCCCUUGACUUUGGGAUAACUUCAGGAAACUGGGGCUAACACCGGAUAGGAGCUCCUGCUGCAUGGUGGGGGUUGGAAAGUUUCGGCGGUUGGGGAUGGACUCGCGGCUUAUCAGCUUGUUGGUGGGGUAGUGACUUACCAAGGCUUUGACGGGUAGCCGGCCUGAGAGGGUGACCGGCCACAUUGGGACUGAGAUACGGCCCAGACUCCUACGGGAGGCAGCAGUGGGGAAUAUUGCACAAUGGGCGGAAGCCUGAUGCAGCAACGCCGCGUGCGGGAUGACGGCCUUCGGGUUGUAAACCGCUUUCGCCUGUGACGAAGCGUGAGUGACGGUAAUGGGUAAAGAAGCACCGGCUAACUACGUG
rnacentral:rRNA from 1 species